AAGAAGAAGAAAAAAAGAGAGAGAGUGU
rnacentral:sRNA from 1 species